AGUUUGAUCUUGGCUCAGGACGAAAAGCUGGCGGCGCGCCUAACACAUGCAAGUCGAACGAGCGAGAGGAGGUUUACUUUCUCAAGCGAGUGGCGAACGGGUGAGUAACGCGUGAGGAACCUGCCUCAAAGAGGGGGACAACAGUUGGAAACGACUGCUAAUACCGCAUAAGCCCACGACCCGGCAUCGGGUAGAGGGACAAGGAGCAAUCCGCUUUGAGAUGGCCUCGCGUCCGAUUAGCUAGUUGGUGAGGUAAUGGCCCACCAAGGCGACGAUCGGUAGCCGGACUGAGAGGUUGAACGGCCACAUUGGGACUGAGACACGGCCCAGACUCCUACGGGAGGCAGCAGUGGGGAAUAUUGCACAAUGGGGGAAACCCUGAUGCAGCGACGCCGCGUGGAGGAAGAAGGUCUUCGGAUUGUAAACUCCUGUUGUUGAGGAAGAUAAUGACGGUACUCAACAAGGAAGUGACGGCUAACUACGUGCCAGCAGCCGCGGUAAAACGUAGGUCACAAGCGUUGUCCGGAAUUACUGGGUGUAAAGGGAGCGCAGGCGGGAAGGCAAGUUGGAAGUGAAAUCCAUGGGCUCAACCCAUGAACUGCUUUCAAAACUGUUUUUCUUGAGUAGUGCAGAGGUAGGCGGAAUUCCCGGUGUAGCGGUGGAAUGCGUAGAUAUCGGGAGGAACACCAGUGGCGAAGGCGGCCUACUGGGCACCAACUGACGCUGAGGCUCGAAAGUGUGGGUAGCAAACAGGAUUAGAUACCCUGGUAGUCCACACUGUAAAC
rnacentral:rRNA from 1 species